UUCCCUUCAAGAAGCCUUGGA
rnacentral:misc_RNA from 1 species